rnacentral:rRNA from 1 species
UACGGGGGGAGCAAGCGUUGUUCGGAUUUACUGGGCGUAAAGGGCGCGUAGGCGGCAUGGCAAGUCAGGAGUGAAAGGCCUGGGCUCAACCGAGGAACUGCUUUUGAUACUGCCAAGCUAGAGUGCGGAAGGGGCAACUGGAAUUCCCAGUGUAGCGGUGAAAUGCGUAGAUAUUGGGAAGAACACCUGAGGCGAAGGCGGGUUGCUGGGCCGACACUGACGCUGAGGCGCGAAAGCCAGGGGAGCAAACGGG